GGAACUCCUUGAAUUUUAAAUUUGUCAGAAAUUCUUACCAAGUAAGUGUUAAUCUUUGUUUCCUUUACUUUUCAUUUACAUUUUGCCCUAUUUUUCGUUUAAAAUAUGCCAAAUAUUAAAGAAAAAUGGAGAUUUUACGUUUUUUUACCGUUGUAGCUUUGUGAUGUGGCAAAAAAUCACUUCCUCACGCGCCUAAUAGAGUGUGUUGUCAAUUUCUACGCCAGGUGGACGAAAAAGGUGUACGCGACAGAGGAAUAAACAAGUUCGGGGGGUAAUUAAAACGGAAUUUAG
rnacentral:lncRNA from 1 species